rnacentral:tRNA from 1 species
GGAGGGUAUAGCUCAAAUGGUAGAGCGCAUGCUUAGAAUGCAUGAGGUCCUGGGUUCAAUCCCCAGUACCUCCU